GACGAACGCUGGCGGCGUGCUUAACACAUGCAAGUCGAACGCUGAAGCUCAGCUUGCUGGGUGGAUGAGUGGCGAACGGGUGAGUAACACGUGAGUAACCUGCCCUCUUCUUUGGGAUAACGCCCGGAAACGGGUGCUAAUACUGGAUAUUCACUGAUUCUCGCAUGGGGGUUGGUGGAAAGGUUUUUUCUGGUGGGGGAUGGGCUCGCGGCCUAUCAGCUUGUUGGUGGGGUGAUGGCCUACCAAGGCUUUGACGGGUAGCCGGCCUGAGAGGGUGACCGGUCACAUUGGGACUGAGAUACGGCCCAGACUCAUACGGGAGGCAGCAGUGGGGAAUAUUGCACAAUGGGCGAAAGCCUGAUGCAGCGACGCCGCGUGAGGGAUGGAGGCCUUCGGGUUGUAAACCUCUUUCGCUCAUGGUCAAGCCGCAGCUUUGGGUUGUGGUGAGGGUAGUGGGUAAAGAAGCGCCGGCUAACUACGUG
rnacentral:rRNA from 1 species